rnacentral:rRNA from 1 species
CCUACGGUAGGCAGCAGUGGGGAAUAUUGGACAAUGGGCGAAAGCCUGAUCCAGCCAUGCCGCGUGUGUGAAGAAGGCCUUCGGGUUGUAAAGCACUUUCAGUGGGGAAGAAAGCCUUGGGGCUAAUACCCUCGAGGAAGGACAUCACCCACAGAAGAAGCACCGGCUAACUCCGUGCCAGCAGCCGCGGUAAUACGGAGGGUGCGAGCGUUAAUCGGAAUUACUGGGCGUAAAGCGCGCGUAGGCGGUCUGAUAAGCCGGUUGUGAAAGCCCCGGGCUCAACCUGGGAACGGCAUCCGGAACUGUCAGGCUAGAGUGCGGGAGAGGAAGGGAGAAUUCCAGGGGUAGCGGUGAAAGGCGUAGAGAUCGGGAGGAAUACCAGUGGCGAAGGCGGCCUUCUGGACUGACACUGACGCUGAGGUGCGAAAGCGUGGGUAGCAAACAGGAUUAGAUACCCCGGUAGUC